rnacentral:rRNA from 1 species
GCUAUACAUGCAAGUCGAGCGGACAGAUGGGAGCUUGCUCCCUGAUGUUAGCGGCGGACGGGUGAGUAACACGUGGGUAACCUGCCUGUAAGACUGGGAUAACUCCGGGAAACCGGGGCUAAUACCGGAUGGUUGUUUGAACCGCAUGGUUCAGACAUAAAAGGUGGCUUCGGCUACCACUUACAGAUGGACCCGCGGCGCAUUAGCUAGUUGGUGAGGUAACGGCUCACCAAGGCAACGAUGCGUAGCCGACCUGAGAGGGUGAUCGGCCACACUGGGACUGAGACACGGCCCAGACUCCUACGGGAGGCAGCAGUAGGGAAUCUUCCGCAAUGGACGAAAGUCUGACGGAGCAACGCCGCGUGAGUGAUGAAGGUUUUCGGAUCGUAAAGCUCUGUUGUUAGGGAAGAACAAGUGCCGUUCAAAUAGGGCGGCACCUUGACGGUACCUAACCAGAAAGCCACGGCUAACUACGUGCCAGCAGCCGCGGUAAUACGUAGGUGGCAAGCGUUGUCCGGAAUUAUUGGGCGUAAAGGGCUCGCAGGCGGUUUCUUAAGUCUGAUGUGAAAGCCCCCGGCUCAACCGGGGAGGGUCAUUGGAAACUGGGGAACUUGAGUGCAGAAGAGGAGAGUGGAAUUCCACGUGUAGCGGUGAAAUGCGUAGAGAUGUGGAGGAACACCAGUGGCGAAGGCGACUCUCUGGUCUGUAACUGACGCUGAGGAGCGAAAGCGUGGGGAGCGAACAGGAUUAGAUACCCUGGUAGUCCACGCCGUAAACGAUGAGUGCUAAGUGUUAGGGGGGUUUCCGCCCCUUAGUGCUGCAGCUAACGCAUUAAGCACUCCGCCUGGGGAGUACGGUCGCAAGACUGAAACUCAAAGGAAUUGACGGGGGCCCGCACAAGCGGUGGAGCAUGUGGUUUAAUUCGAAGCAACGCGAAGAACCUUACCAGGUCUUGACAUCCUCUGACAAUCCUAGAGAUAGGACGUCCCCUUCGGGGGCAGAGUGACAGGUGGUGCAUGGUUGUCGUCAGCUCGUGUCGUGAGAUGUUGGGUUAAGUCCCGCAACGAGCGCAACCCUUGAUCUUAGUUGCCAGCAUUCAGUUGGGCACUCUAAGGUGACUGCCGGUGACAAACCGGAGGAAGGUGGGGAUGACGUCAAAUCAUCAUGCCCCUUAUGACCUGGGCUACACACGUGCUACAAUGGACAGAACAAAGGGCAGCGAAACCGCGAGGUUAAGCCAAUCCCACAAAUCUGUUCUCAGUUCGGAUCGCAGUCUGCAACUCGACUGCGUGAAGCUGGAAUCGCUAGUAAUCGCGGAUCAGCAUGCC